rnacentral:rRNA from 1 species
GACGAACGCUGGCGGCGUGCUUAACACAUGCAAGUCGAACGGAAAGGCCCUGCUUUUGUGGGGUGCUCGAGUGGCGAACGGGUGAGUAACACGUGAGUAACCUGCCCUUGACUUUGGGAUAACUUCAGGAAACUGGGGCUAAUACCGGAUAGGAGCUCCUGCUGCACGGUGGGGGUUGGAAAGUUUCGGCGGUUGGGGAUGGACUCGCGGCUUAUCAGCUUGUUGGUGGGGUAGUGGCUUACCAAGGGUUUGACGGGUAGCCGGCCUGAGCGGGUGACCGGGCACAUUGGGACUGAGAUACGGCCCAGACUCCUACGGGAGGCAGCAGUGGAGAGUAUUGCACAGUGGGCGGGAGCCUGAUGCAGCAACGCCGCGUGCGGGAUGACGGCCUACGGGUUGUAAACCGCUUUCGCCUGUGACGAAGCGUGAGUGACGGUAAUGGGUAAAGAAGCACCGGCUAACUACGUG